rnacentral:lncRNA from 1 species
GGUUGUAGGAAAAACAAAAGGAAAAUCAUUUCAAAAUUAUUGAAUACAAGCUAAAACAAAUAAAUAAAUAAAAUCAUUAGCCAAAUUCUGUUCAAGUGAAAUAAUUUGAAGUAAUUUCUUUAAUACAGACAACAGCAAAAUAAGCAAACAAAAUCUGUUGGAUCGAAAUCAUUGUAAUUUUUUUUAUUUAAUGACAAAUAGAGACAAUAUAGAAAAUAUAUUUUAGUGUGAAAGCAUUUAUUUGGCAAUCUUACGGUUCUAGUAUAGGCAAUCUUUCAUGCAGGCAUGGUAUGGAUUCGAUCCUCGAUUGCCAAAUUUCACAAUCGUUUUUCUGUGAGUGGCAGCAGUUACAUUUACCAGACACCUUCGUUAAGCAGAAUUAUGCCUUUGCCACUGACCCUUCUAAUCUCUUCUAUUUCACCAAAAGCUAGAAUAUAGAUAACAGACCCCCAUCGAAAUCUAUUGUUUUCAACAAUAUGCCUAUCCUUCUAGCUGGUUUUGGAUCGUCCCUGUCCGGAAAAAUAUUAUCAUAUAAUUUUUAAUUGGUUUCGAUUUCAUUGUACUGUGUAAAUUCAUUCGAUUUUCAUUAAAUCCGAUUUUUAUGCGAAUUAACUAAUGUAUAACCCCAGUCCGUAAAUGUUUUCGUUUUGUCCUUGUUCUGUCCCCUCUAUGUGAGCCAUUUAUUGGUAAUAAAUGAAUUAGUGAGAGCAACAGUUAGUGAACAGAGACCAACUGGUCACGGACACAAGCAGGCAACCACUAAAGCCAAACGGCCAGAAGGAAGACAGGUUACAAUCUGCCAACGAUGACACACAACGUCCAUCGACUCUUAUAACUUUCACAAGCUCAGUUUCUUUUCUCUUACAACAUCAUUCUAUCACUAUCCAUGGUUUGCUACUACGGGAACCUGUACACACACAUAUCGGCCGAAAUUAACUCUUUUUACCUCGCAUGCUUUUCCAUUUACUAAAACGUACCAACCCGUCGUGGUUUUGGAUAUAUACAAAGUAACGGUAAAUAAAUAUUUCUUUACAACUUCGAUCACUGUUCUUCUUUCAUCUUCCAAAUGGCAAACAACGAAUACCAUUGUGGGGCGGAGGUAAAGGACAUGGACCGCACCCCCUUUCGGUUAUUUUUUUUGGGCGGGGGUCCCUUCAGAAACCCAUCUUUUUUCGACUGCGGAGAUUCCGAAUCUAAAAAAAAAAAAAAAAAAAAAAAAAAAGCCCUCGGCAUUUCAAAAGAAAAAAUAAACAUCCCUCGCCUCCAACUAAAACAGAAAACUCGAUAUGCUAGAAACAGCAGCUAAACGACGAAUCACGUUUUCAAAAUUAUACAACAGCAAAACCGAAGAUCCACUCUCUAAAUACCGAUUACCACAAAAGAAAAAAUUUCUAAAAAAAAAGUGAAAAAAUUGGGGUGGGGUGAGUUAAAAUUUUGAAAUGCCGAUUUAAAAUUUUUUUUGCUGAUUCGGAAUCUCCGCAGUCGAAAAGGUGGGUUUCAGUUUAAAAAAUACAAAAAAAAAAAAGAAUAACCGACAAGGGGUGCGCCCAUGGGAUCUUUUCGGUUUGAACGUCAGUUUUUAACAUAAUUUCUAGGUAACUAAAAAAUUUUAAACUUCGUAUACUGGUAGAAUGUGUUUAUAAAACAUCUUUUUCUUUUGGCUUUAUUGAGAAAAUUCUAUGGUUUGUAAGAUAUUUGUUGUUUUUAUUUCUGCAAUUUCAACCAAUCACUGACGUCUAUUGAGGUAAAAACAUUCUGUGCCGUAUGAAUAUGUCCCACGUUUAAGAAACACAUUGGGUUUAUUUACAUUUGUGAAGAAAAAAAGAUACCCUUCCCCCCACCCCUAACCCUAACCCUAAAACAGAUUGAAAUGCAAUAGAUCGAUACUAGGGUCAUAAUUAUGGGUGACAAUUUCAUAUGACACCGUUAGAAAAAACUGCCGUUCAAACCGAAAAGAUCCGGCCCAUGUCCUUUACCUUCGACCCAUUGUCGUUACAAGACAAUAAAAAAAAUGCAAAGGAAAUAAUUUAGAAAAUUACUAUUUAAUGCAAGCAGUACAUAAAAUAGACGAACAAGUUGUUUCAUAUGGAGAACAUGAAAAGAAACUCAACUAAUAAACUUGUAUGCAGAAUUUUUUUCAACAGACCACGAGAGAAUUAAUCUUGAACCAUUACCUUUAAUUAUAUUUCACUGAUGAUAUAGCUUUUGUUAACAGGUCCUUGUUUGCUAACACAUGCCUAUAAAAUUCUUUACAUUGACAGUUAAGGUUCCAUGUGCAUUGUAAGAAAGCUUCUACAGUAGCUACGUCCAAUUCAUUUCCUUCCUCGGUCCACUGAACAUUCAUCAUUGAGAAUGAUAUGCUAGAAACAGCAGCUAAACGACGAAUCACAUUUUCAAAAUUUUACAACAGCCAAACCGAAGAUCAACUCUCUAAAUACGGAUUACCACAAAAGAAAAAUUUCUAAAAAAAAGGUGAAAAAGCUGGUAUGCUAAAUAGAAAUUGGCACAAAAUUAACAACUCUGAGUAUUGUUCUUGAAAUUCAAUCUUCUGAAAGAUAGAAAACCAUCUUCCAUGGCACAGUUUGGGCUUCCAUUCAUCGGGUUUGAUCUGCAUCUCUUUAGCAAGGAAUUUUUUGAAUGCUGACCACUGACAGAAAAGAAUGUUGUCAAUUUUUAUAACUUUGUCUUUUUAACACUAGACAAGAUGAUUCUACAUGUUUCAAUGCUGGAACUGUAUCUAAUGACAUCCAAGUAAAGUUAUCAAAAUUGAACCUAGGCUUGCGAAGACCUGUUGGGGAAGGUGAAAAUCGGAAUCGAAAUUGAACCAAAUCCUAUGACUGGCACCCGGCAGUUGCCAGUGCCGCUGGACUGACUCCUGUGUAGGUGGCAAGUAAAGAAACACCAAUUCGACCCUGUGCUUGAGGAGACAUAUUGAGUCAAGUACAUCAACAUAAAAAAAUCAAUGGAAAUUGUAGUUGUGAUCCCUGUGCCGGUGGCAUGUAAAAAGCACUAACCGAUCGUGGCCGUUGCCAACCUCGCCUGGCCCCUGUACCGGUGGCAUGUAAAAAGCACCCACUACACUCACAGAGUGGUUGGCGUUAGGAAGGGCAUCCAGCUGUAGAAACACUAUCUGGUGGUCAUUCUGGAAGCUAGGGAUAGACAAGUGUUUGGUGAGAGCUGUACAAGCCUUGUACAGGGACACUACCAGUAAGGUGAGGGUGGGCAAUGAGUACAGCGGAGAGUUCAGGUUACAAGUAGGGAUUCACCAAGGAUUGGUGUUCAUCAUAGUCCUCCAGGCAAUAACAGGAAUUUAAGACAGGCUGCCCCUGGGAGCUCCUUUAUGCGGAUGACCUUGCCUUUGUAGCUGAAUCACUACCUGAGCUAGAGAAAAAGUUCCAGGUAUGAAAUCAAGGUCUAGAAUCAAAGGGCCUUAGAGUUAACCUAGCAAAAAGCGAAGUCAUAUUAAGUAAGAAGGCAGACAAAUCACAAAUCCCCUCAGGUAGAAACUCCAUAAGAUGCACCCAGAGAAAGCUUUGGAUGCACAAAAGGUGCAGCAACAUCAAAGGAAGGUUAGCAGAGAAACUAACUUUUGUAUGUGGAAGGUGCACAGGCAUCAUAAAUGCUGAACAUGUGCAGAAAAUAGACUCCAUCAACAGCCAGUAGGGUAAACUAGAGGUAGUGGAUAGCUUCCGGUGUCUAGGUGACCAGGUUAGUAGUGGAGAUUGAUGCUCCAAGAGCGUAGCUGUGAGAAUAAGAUUAGGCUGGGAAAAGUUCAGGGAGCUCCUACCCCUGCUGGCAACAAAGGGCCACUCUCUCAGAGUGAAAGGCAGAUUGUUUGAUGCUAUGCUGCAUAGCAGUGAAACAUGGGUUAUAACAGCCCAUGUGUAGGCUAGAGAGAAAAGAAGCCAGUAUGUUUCGUUGGAUGUGCAAUGCCAGUGUGCAUGUUUGACAGAGUCUAAGCAUCUUGAGAGAAAAGUUAUGCACAGGAGGAAUCAAAGAUGGUGUGCAAGAGAGACAACUGCGCUGGUAUGGUCAUGUGAAACAUAUAGAGGAGGGUGGCUGUGUAAAGAAGUGCCGAUCUCUAACUGUGGAGGGAAGAUGAGGAAGAGGUAGACCCAGGAAGACAUGGGACAUGGUGGUGAAACAUGAUCUUCAAACUUUGAACCUCACGAAGACAAUGACUAGUAACCGAGACCUAUGGUGAUGUGCUCUACUUAAGGGGACACGUGCUGGAGGCAUUAAAAAAAAAUCAACCUUUGAGCAUUGGGCCUCAUGGAAGCAAAGUGGCUGAGUUCCUUUUGAGUGUUGGGCCUCACCUUUGGCAUUAUGUCAUGCUUGAGAAGACCCAUCAAGCUGAGCAAAAUUGCAGUUGUGGCAGAUACCAGUGUUAUGCAAAUGACACCUGUACUGGUGGCACAUAAAAGCACCCAUUACACUCUUGGAGGGGUUGGCAUUAGGAAGGGCAUCCAGCUGUAGAAAACCAUUCCAAAUCAGCCUGGAGCCUGGCACAGCCUUCCAGCAUGCCAGCCCAGUAAAACUGUCCAACCCAUGCCAGCAUGGACAACGGACAUUAAAUGAUGAUGAUGAUGAUGAUGUCAUCUGGCUACCAUAUCCUAGGCAAACUUUUGCAAUAGAUAUUACGAAUAAAAUGAAAUUUCUUUUUUUUUUCACCAUUUUAUAAUUAAUACUUUAUAUUCGAUGGGCAAUUAAUGACGAGCACUAAAAUAUUCUAUUAUCUUCAAAGUGUGACUAAUUGAAUGUCGGCCAUCUCACUUUGAAGAUAUGUACGUAUGGAAGGCAAUUAUUAAAUUAUGAUGAUGAUGAUGAUAUGAAUAUAAACCUGCUCUUUUUUUAGAAAAGUUUGAAUGACUCUACACAAGUAGGGAGAAGAAACAGCUGAAAAUGAUGGAACUUUACCCACUGGAUUUUUCUCAGAAAAAUAUACCUAUCCCUACACAAAAACAAUAUCUCAAAAGUCUUAUAGAGAAAACGGAAGAGUUUGUUCGAAGAUUGAGAUGGAAAGCCUUCUUCUUUGAUACUAAACAGAAAACCAAUGGAAGCAAAUACGGACUUAAAUCUUCCACCACCUAUUGCGGAAUUAGAAGUCUUUGAGAAAGACCGGAAUUAGAAGCCUUCGAGAAAGACCUUUUCGAACUUAUUAGAAAAAUUAAAUUCCGUAAAUAUAGCAACCAAUUACAGAGAAAUAUGAAAGAAAAUAUUAAGGAAAUUAACAACUGGAAUAAGAUCUUCGUUAAGUCUGAUAAGACAAGAAACUUAUAUGCACUUGAUAAGGACGUUUGCAAGCGUCUAAUUUCGAAUAGUGUCACAGAUACAUACAAAAAAGAUAACACAAAUAUAUACAAAGAGGUGAAUUUGGAAGCAAGAAGAAUAGCUAACAAUUUUAAGAAUAGUGAUAGGAUAGAAUAUCUUUCCCCUGCGACCCGCUAUUAUUACCCUAAAAGACCAUAAAGCCAAUUUUAAUAGAAACCCCAAAUGUAGAUUGAUCAAUCCGGCUAAAACUGAAAUAUAUUUUGGACUAUAUUUUAACUAAGUUAGAUAGUGAAUUAGACUUGAGAAUUUGGAAGAAUAAUAAGUCAGUUAUAGAGUGGUUCAAAGGGAUUAACUAUAAGCGUAACUGCAAUUUUAUGCAGUUUGAUUUUAUUGACUUUUACCCAUCAAUAUCUAGGACUUUACUCCUAAGAGCAUUAGACUUCGCCAAGCAGUAUCUCAACAUCGAUAACUCGGAAAUUGAUAUCAUACAUGCAAGGAAAUCACUUCUUUUUUUCGAGGAUUCCACCUGGGUUAAGAAGAGUGAGGAUUCUCUUUUCGAUGUACCGACGGGGCUGAGUUAUGUAUGCUCAUAGGAGCCUAUAUUCUACAUAAUCUAAAAAUAGAAUUCUCAUUUAUAGAUGCAGGUUUAUAUAGGGAUGAUGGCCUUAUAGUCACCCAUAAUUUAAACAGCCAUGAAUCAGAUAAACUUAGGAAGGACCUUAUUGCUUUCUUCCAAAGGAUGGGAUUAUGGGUUACGAUAGAUGCUAACCUGAAAAGUGUAGAUAUUUUAGAUGUAAAUUUGGAUUUAAGGUCGGAUAAAUUUAAACCUUACCAUAAGCCUAAUGAUAAGCUAUCUUAUAUUAGCAAAGAAUCAAAUCAUCUGCCAGUUAUUCUUAGGAACUUAGUCAGUAAUGUAGGUAGACGAAUAUCGUCAAUUUCUUCAGAUGAAGCAGCAUUCCAAAAUGCCACACCUUAUUACGAUAGUGCAUUAAGGAAUAGUGGAUUCUCUGAGAAGAUCCAGUAUAACCAACUUAAUGCUAGUAGUAAUGCUACGCGUAGAACUAGGACCAGGAAAGUUUUGUGGUUCAACCCAGCUUUCAAUUUGGCUGUAAAAACAAAUAUAGGUAGAGAAUUCUUGAAAUUAGUCUCUAGGCAUUUUCAACCGGAUCAUAAAUUUUAUAGAAUAUUUAAUAGAAGAACGCUUAAGAUCAGCUAUUCUUGCUGCAGAAACUUUACCUCUUUCGUUAACCAACAGAACAGUAGGAUAAUUGCUAAUAAGCAUAGUGCCGAUCCUCUUAAAAAAUGUAAUUGCAAAGAUGGAUCCUCCUGUCCGUUGGAAGGAAAAUGUCUGGAGAAAGGAAUCAUAUAUAGAGCCAAGGUGCAGAUAAAAGGCUCAUGCGAAUAUAGGACUUAUACAGGGGCUUCUGAAAAUUCUUUUAAAACCCGAUUUUAUUCGCAUAAAAAUUCCUUUAGAUACCCCAAAAAUAGCACGAAGACCAGCCUGGUGAAAUAUGUCUGGGAGUUAAAAGAAAAAGAAACCCGACCUUUCAAUGUGUCAUGGAGUACUUUGGAUAGAGUGGCACCUCCUGAACCUCAUCAACACUUUGUACAUGGAGCAAAUAGUACUCCAACCAACCAGGGCAGGUAACAUGCUGGAUCUCUGCUUCACAAAUAAUAUGGAUCUCAUCCAUAAUGUGAAAGUGACACCAACGCUACUCUCGGAUCACAACAUGGUAGAGCUGACCAUGUACGGGCCAAAGGAAAGCAUGGACAUACAGCCUACAAGAAACUCCAGCUUGAACUUCCAUAAGGCAAACUGGAAACAAAUUGAGAAAGAGAUCCUCAAACAAAACUGACCUGAAUGUCUCUCCUCACCAGACAUCGACAUGAAACUUCAACAAUUCAUGUCUGUAAUGCAAGCCAUAUGCUACAAAUGUGUCCCAGAGAGAAAGGCCACUGUACACAAGAACAAAAUCCCCAGGGAGAGGAAAAUUCUUAUGAGACGGCGUACAAAAGUUUCAAAUCGCCUAAACAAACAAAUUGAAAGUGAAAAGUCCCGCCUGAAAAUAAAUCCACUGGAAAUUGAAAAAAGUCUGCAACUCUCCCAUGAAAAAGAAAGAGCAGACAAAGAAGCCUGGGCUAUAGACAAUAUGAAAUCUAACCCCAGAGCUUUCUACAAGUUUGCCAAAGAAACAGCUUUGGUGCACUGCAGGAUAGGGCCACUCCAGAAAAAGAUGGUACACUCACAGGAAAUCCAAUGAGGAUAUGUGAAAUACUAAAUGAGCAAUUCAAAAGUAUUUUCACUCCACCCCUAGGGCAUAUAUGCAUAUAUAGAUAUAUGUAUAUAUAUAUGAUAUAUAUAUAUAUAUAUAUAUAUAUAUAUAUAUAUAUAUAUAUAUAUAUAUAUAUAUAUAUAUAUAUAUAUAUAUAUAUAUAUAUAUAUAUAUAUAUAUAUAUAUAUAUAUAUAUAUAUAUAUAUAUAUAUAUAUAUAUAUAUAUAUAUAUAUAUAUAUAUAUAUAUAUAUAUAUAUAUAUAUAUAUAUAUAUAUAUAUAUAUAUAUAUAUAUAUAUAUAUAUAUAUAUAUAUAUAUAUAUAUAUAUAUAUAUAUAUAUAUAUAUAUAUAUAUAUACAUGUAUAUAUAUAUACAUACAUAUAUAUAUAUAUAUAUAUAUAUAUAUAUAUAUAUACAUGUAUAUAUAUAUAAUAUAUAUAUAUAUAUAUAUAUAUAUAUAUAUAUAUAUAUAUAUAUAUAUAUAUAUAUAUAUAUAUAUAUAUAUACAUAUAUAUAUAUAUAUGCAUAUAUAUAUACAUAUAUAUAUAUAUCCAUAUACAAAAUGAGAAAAUGGAGAAACAUACUUAAAUCAAUCAAUCAUCAACCAUCAGAUAAUACCCAAUCAAUACUUUAUUACACCAUUACAUAACAGCAAUCAUCAUCAUCAUCGUUUAACGUCCGCUUUCCAUGCUAGCAUGACAUUAUAGAAAUAUAUGUAUGCAUAUAUAUUGACAAUAUAUGUCUAUUCAUGCACUGCUGUUGUAAAUAGCCAGUGAGUUUAUUAAAGAAAUAAUAGCGGCAGAAGCAGUAUAUUAAUACCAAAAGGUAAUCUUAAUCACCAACUUAACAUGGAAGUUGCAUUAGAGCAUAAGAUCCUCUCAAGGUAAAUAAGAUAAUAUUCAAUUUUCUAACACAGGCUCCAUGUUAAGUGGGAGAUCAAGAUAAUCUUAUGGAUUUAAUACUACUGUUGCUAUUCCUUACUUUUUAAUAAGCCCACUGGUCAUUUGCAACACCAGUGCAUGAAUAUAUUGUUGAUGGGAAAUUCAGCUGUUAUGUUGCAACUGGAUUUCUGUAUCUGAGGAAUCUAUAGCAGGGUGAAAUCAUGUGAUCUGGCAGUUCUGGUGACUGUACAAGAGGAUUUUCAUUUGUCAAUGAUAUAAUGGUGAGUAAAGGCUGUGAGCUGGCAGAAACGUUAGCAUGCCGGGCCGAGAUGCUUAGCAGUAUUUUGUCUGCCACCACGUUCUGAGUUCAAAUUCUGCCGAGGUCGACUUUGCCUUUCAUUCUUUCGGGGUCGAUUAAAUAAGUACCAGUAACGCACUGGGGUCGAUAUAAUCAACUUAAUCCGUUUGUCUGUCCUUGUUUAUCCUCUCUGUGUUUAGCCCCUUGUGGGUAGUAAAGAAAUAGGUAUAAUGGUGAGUGCUUUUUAUGCAUGAGUCCUUAUGGGAUAUUCUCUGAAGAUAAAUAAUACAGUAUUCUCUGUUCUAACACAACCUCCAUGUUAAGUUGGAGAUCAAGAUGCAUACACACACACACACAUAUAUAUAUAUAUAUACACACACACAUAUAUAAUUAUAUACACACACAUACACAUAUAGGUUUGUUAGAACAAACUGGUUAGAAGGAAAACUAGAACUGUAACACACCCAGUAAUUUGGUUGUCACUAAGGGAACUAUGUAGAGAUAAAUGACUUGUGAGGGCUCCACAAUGGUACAGUUAUGAAACUGUGUCAUUGAGGAGAUCAGCAAUAAAUUUAGCAUAAAUGCAGGUAUCCUCAAAGUUCAGUCUUCACUUUCCUUCUCUUCAUCAUUGUGCUGCAGAACAUCCCAUAGGAGUUCAAGACCAAGUGUGCAUAGGAGCUCCAGAAUGUUGAUUAUCUAACUCUGAAUCUGUGGUAGAAGCAAAGAAGAAAUGCCAGGUGUGAUGCCUCAAGGUAAAUUUAACUAAGAUUAAUGUGCUAGUAAGCAAAAAAGGAAAUAUGAUCCUGGUACCAUCAGGGAAGCAACCUGGUUUGAUAAGAUAAAAAAAAGUAGGUAGGAACUCAAUACGCUGUACUCAGUGUAAGCUUUGAAGGCACAAGAGAUGUAAUACAAUCACAGGCAGACUAACAGAGAAAGCAAGCUUUGUAUGUGGCAGAUACACUGAGGCCAGAGGCACACAGGGGAGGCUAUAAAUGGACUCUCUUAAAUGCCCAACUGGGUCACAAGAAGUUGCAGAAAACAUGUAAAGGCUAAAAGAAAAAUGAGUGGUUGUGUGGUAAGUAGCUUGCUAACCAACCACAUGGUUCCGGGUUCAGUCCCACUGCGUGGCGUCUUGGGCAAGUGUCUUCUACUAUAGCCCCGGGCCGACCAAUGUCUUGUGAGUGGAUUUGGUAGACAGAAACUGAAAGAAGCCUGUCGUAUAUAUGUAUAUAUAUAUAUAUGUGUGUGUGUGUGUUUGUGUGUGUGUGUUUGUACCCCUAGCAUUGCUUGACAACCGAUGCUGGUGUGUUUAUGUCCCCGUCACUUAGCGGUUCGGCAAAAGAGACCAAUAGAAUAAGUACUGGGCUUACAAAGAAUAAGUCCCGGGGUCAAUUUGGUCGACUAAAGGCGGUGCUCCAGCAUGGCCGCAGUCAAAUGACUGAAACAAGUAAAAGAGUAUGCUCUGAUGGAUGUGCAAUGUCAGUGUCCACGAACAUCAGUGUACGAAUGAGGUGAGAGAAAAAUUGAGCUUAAGAGGAAUCAGAUGUGGUGUGCAAGAGAGAGAGGCUGGUAUUGGUCUGAGUAUGUGAUGUAUAGGAAGGAUGGCAGCUGCAUAAGGAAGUGUUAUGAGCUCCAGGUUAGUGGAAUCCAUGGAAGAGGGAAACUAGGAAAGACAUGGAGCAAAAUUGUGAAGACUGACCUAAAAAUGGUGCAUCUCAUGGAGGAGAUAACAAGGACUGUACUAACUGGGGGUGGUGGUGCUGCAGAAGAUCUGAUUACCUGUGAGGGAAAAAGGUUUAAGUGAUGGUAGUAACAAAGAUUGGGAUGUCUAUAUAUGUAUGCGACGUGCAACCAAGAGAAUACCCUCCAUCGGGCAUUUGCGAUAUUCUGAACGCCUUACUUCCCUGGGCAUGGACACAUUGAAACUCCGACGCCUGGCAGCUGACUUGGCAGACACCCAUAAAAUUAUUAACCAUCUUACAAACAAUAACUCUGAGCACCUUUUCAAACUCCAUCUGUCUAACACCUGUGGACAUGUUUACAAAAUCAGAAAACGGCACAGCUCCUUCCAUGGCUUUCGGAAACAUUUUUUCAUGCUAAGAGUUGCUGAAGCAUGGAACAGACUGCUGGCAUCAGUUGUUAGUUGUCGGAGCACUGCAUCCUUCAAAACUUCCAUGCUUCCUGAGAUUCGCCAACACUACACCUGAUUUCCUCCCUCCAUACACACGCAAGCAUGUAUCUGACUCAUACACUGUUCACUUCCCAGACAUUUGUACAUUACUGCAUAUGCUUUAUAUGCACUUUUGACAAGUUGUGGUACACCUGAGCACUGUAUACAAUAAUCUCAUUAUUAUUAUUAUUUUUAUUUUAUUAUUUUUAUUAUGUAUGUAUAUGUGUGUGUGUGUGUGUGUGUCCCACCCAUGCCAGCAUCAAAGGCAGACGUUAAACGACGAUGUGUGUGUGUGUGUAAUUUCAAGCAUGAAAGUAAAACCUGGAAUCAAAGAGUUUUAUAGUUAACAAAGAGCUAAGUUCUAGUAAGCCGAAAAACAGACAGGACUGCAGUCUCGACAGGAAAAUGGCAUCACUUGAUAUGUAGGAAAAGAAUGUUGGAAAUUCGAUAUGGUGUACUCAGUGCAAGCAAUGGACACACAAGACAUGCAGUGGAAUCGCCGGAGAAUCAACAGAGAAAGUAGACUUUGUCUGUGACAGAUGCAAUAAACAUUAUGAACACAGGAGAAAUAGAUUUGCUUGAAUGCCAUUGAGGCUCCCUAGAGGUAGGAGACGGAUCCUGUUACUAAGGUGACCUAAUUAGUAGUGGAGAAGGAUGUUCUGAAAGUGUAGAUGCUAGAAUAAGAAUAGGAUGGAGAAAGUUCAGUUACCAACAAAAAGGUCUUUCUCUCUGCGAGUAAAAAGCAGAUUGUAAUGAUGCUUGCAUAUGAACAGCAAUGCUACACAGUUGUGAAACUUAGGCUGUGAAUGCAGAAAACAUCAUCAUCAUCAUCAUCGUUUAACAUCCGUUUUCCAUGCUAGCAUGGGAUGGACGGUUCGACUGGGGUCUGGGAAGCCAGGAGGCUGCACCAGGCUCCAGUCUGAUCUGGCAGUGUUUCUACAGAUGGAUGCCCUUCCUAACGCCAACCACUCCAUGAGUGUAGUGGGUGCUUUUUACGUGCCAGGGGAGGCUGGCAACGGCCACAAUCGGUUGGUACUUUUUACGUGCCACCGACACGGAAGCCAGUCAAGGCGGUGCUGGCAUCAGCCACGUACAGAUGGUGCUUUUUGCGUGCCACUGGCACAGGUGCCAGGGGAGGCUGGCAACAGCCACGAUCGGUUGGCACUUUUUACAUGCCACCGACAUGGAAGCCAGUCAAGGUGGCGCUGGCAUCAGCCACGUACUGAUGGUGCUUUUUACGUGCCACCGGCACGGAAGCCAGUCAAGGCGGCGCUAGCGAAGAUUAAAUAGGAAUGAAGGCAAUAUGCUCUGUUGGAUGUGCAAUACAGUGCGCCAUUACGACAAAGUGUAAAUAUGUUGAUAGAAAAUUUGAGAAUAAGAGGAAUUAGAUAUAGUGUGCAAGAGAGGACUGUGGUAGUAUGGUUAUGUAAUGUAUAUGGAUGAGAACAGCUGUAUAAAGAAGUGAAUGUGUGUAUAGAAAGGACCACCAUCUCUGGCGAUGCAGGGGUUACACUCACUAAAUCUAAAAAAAUGGCAGCAGUGUGUUUAUUCUGUAUUGGACUUUCAAGGGUCCACCUUUCAUUUGUCCAUUUUGUGAAUGAAUUUCUACAUUGUUCCUGGAGUUAUAUCAGAGGAAUUGAAAACCUGGAAUUGUCAUCAAAAUCUUCUGUACAUUAGAGAUAGUUCUGUUGUGAAGUAACAGAGAAGUGGCUUGGCAAACAGGAACCAAUUGGCGGAGAAUAAAUUAAGGUGGAAAUUGAUCAGACUUUGUUCACCGGAAAUAUGGGAGGGAUUGAAUUCUGAGCCUAGUUUGGUGGUAUAGAGUGAACCAUUAAGUGUUGUUUCAUUCUGCCUCUAAGAAAUAAGAAGUGUGACAAAGUGACACCGAUUCCUCUGAUCCAAGUGUAGGACAAAAGCCACACUGUUAUAUUUUUUGAUUAUUUCUUCGUUUUUUUUUUUUCACCUUUUACUUGUUUCAGUUAUUAGACUGAGGCCAUGCUGGGGCACUACUUUGAAGAAUUUUUAGUUGAACAAUCGACCCCAGAAUUUAUUUUCCCUUUUUACUUGUUGCAGUUAUUAGACUGCAGCCAUGCGGCACCACCUUGAAGGAUUUUUAGUUGAAUGUAACGACCCCAGAAUUUUUUUUUAAUGAUUUUCAACCAGUGCCUAAAGGUAUCUCCACAUGAUAGAAAUAACAACCAAAUCUCUUGAAAUUUUUGUAUAACUCCCUUGGUUUUUUUUUUUAUAUUUCCUAAAAAUCUGUUUACUUGUUUCAAUCAUUGGACUACAGCCACGCUGUGGGACCAGCUUGAAGAAUUUUUGGUUGCAGAAAAAUCAGUAUUUUAAAAUAUAGAUUUAAAGUUUUGUUUUCUUCUCUCAGCACUUACAGAUUAAUGAGAAUAAGUUGACCUUUUGAACUUUUUCAAACGUACUUAUAGUUUUUAUGUUUCUACACAUUUCUUGGAGUAAAUGCUUUUCCUUUUGUUAGAAUUCAGACAAUAUGUACAUUGAGUAGUAAAGAAUCUUGUGUUCUGUGAUUCUGUUAUUGAUGUUAAGGUUGGUUUAUUUUAUUUUCAAACUUCAAAAUUAUUCUAAAAAAGGGGGAAAUAAUUAAAACACAUGGAACAUACUAUUGUGAGGGACAUAGAUGUUUUGACACCGUUUUUUAAUUGAAUAUAUUUUGUUUACUUAAAACUUGGAAUUUUGGAAAAUAUUUUUUUUUACAAACACGAUUUCCGUUUUUGUUUACGUGACAUUAUAAAAACAGUUUGUAAGAUUUGGCUGUUAUUUCUAGCAUGUGGAGAGACCUUGUAGUUAUUAGACUGCAGCCGGCCAUGCUGGGGCACCACCUUGAAGAAUUUCUAGAUGGCUGUAUGGAACCCAGAAUUUUUUUAAAGCUUCUGUGAUUUGAUUCAUUUUUGUUUUUCUUUUUACUUGUUGCAUAUGCAAGUAAAAAGAUUUUUAGAAAAUAAAAUAAACGAAGAAUAUCCAAAUAUAUACCCGGAAAUGUGGGGGGUUAUAAGAAUUUCAAGGGAUUCGGCUAUUAUUUCUAGCAUGUCGAGAGACCUUUUAGGCUUAACUUCAUGCGCUGGUUGAAAAUCAUCUAAAAAAAAAAAUUCUGGAGUCUAUACAAUCGACUAAAAAUUUCUUAAGGUGGUGCCCCAGCAUGACCGCAACAAGUAAAAAAAAAUUCUGGGUUCCCUACAGCAAUCUUUCGGAUUAACUCAAUGCCAAGAGGUCUUCGAGUUAAAACGAAGGUUUGCCUAAGGUGGUGCCCCAGCAUGGCCGGCAGCAGUCUAAUAACAAUAAAUUUUUUAAAAUCCUGGGGUUGAGAUAUUCAACUAAAAAUUCUAAAAACGAAAAGAUAACCGAAAAAUAUAACCGUGGGGCUUUUGUCCUGAUUCCAAUCCAGGCAUAUAUGAAACCUGGCUCAGUUAUUUAUAUCGAUUCUUUGGCUACCUUCAAUAAUUUAAGCAGUUUGGGCUUUCACAAUUACGUGAUAAACCAUUCCGAAAGUUUUAUUGACCUCAUACAUACACAGACAAAUCAUUGAAUGUUUGAAGAGGGACAUAGAAGAAUGGAGAAAAAAGGCCAGGUAUUCAGUUAAAAUAUUUGCAUCAAUACCUGGCCAGAUAUUUAUCUAUUUCGUCAGAGGGGGAUUAAACCUUAUUCAAGAGUCAGCCCAAUUAUAUGUACCCCUCUAAGAUAUAUAUAUGUUAGUUAGUUAGUUAGUUAGUUAAUUUGGCUCAAAAGCAAAUAGCAAGGCCAUGUAGGGGGACAUAGAGUUAAGUACAGGGUGGUGUUCAUGUAAAGAGUUCAGGCCACUUGAGGUCCAGGGAGGCUUUGAACAAAGCGGUCGUCGGCAUAUUUUAAAUAGCUCCUUUGUAUUAAGAAAAUUAAUUCUCCAACCUACCCAGGCAAAAAUGAAACUAAUUUUGGGAAAACUUAAAUGAAACUAAUUUUGGGAAAACUUAAUUAAAGUGAUGUUUCUUUUUCUGAAACAUUCUGCAGCCUGGAUUACUGAUUUAAAGAGAUUUGAAAAAGCUAUUUUGUUUAAAUAUUACACUUUUCUGUUGUUAAAUGUUUUUUUCUUUCUUACAUAUCACAUCUUUUAUCUGAUUCAGUUAUAGGAAUAUAUAAUUUCAUCGACCCCCCGUUCCUUGCGGCGUAUUUGGUCAGCAUAGUUCAUUGCACACGAAAAACCGCGAAAGAAAAUCUCCGCCGAAUUGGGGUGGGUGGGUGAAUUUUCUGAGGGUUCCGCCCUACCCUGCUCCAUGUUUUCCGGACAAAAAGUCUUUUGUGGCAUAUUAAUUUAUCCAAGAAAAAAAACAACAUUUUCCAAUGAUUUCAGGAAGAGGGAGGGGGAUUUCCGAGUAUCCCCACCCAUCUAUUUUCUGAACAAAAAUAAGGGGAACAAUUGCAGCGUGGAAGGUGUUUGUAAGCCAUUUAAGAAACACACAAAAGCCGUUCGAUUCGCUUCAACAUUUAAGUUUAAUUUGUCAAAAUAUUUUCGUCGCUAAAAUCCGCGACCUGUUCACUGACAAUAUUUUGACAAAUCAAACUUAAAUGUUGAAGUGAACGGCUUUUGUGUGUUUCUUAAAUGGCUUACAAACACCUUCCACGCUGCAAUUGGUUUUGUUUCAGAACACGAUCUCAGAUCAAAUCACUUGCUAUGCAAGUGCAUCUCCUAAAAUAAGGGGCUUGGGGUAUUAGGAGAUCAGGUUACUUCAUUCCGCGCAAAAAAAAAAACGAGGUUUUUUUUUUAGCGAACCGUGUGCAGGUGCACUUGUAAAAAUUUACCCAUUAUAAAAUCCAUUCAGGGUUUUCUGUAAAGUGAUUGGCGAAUGGAGACCUGGGGUCAAAGGAACCUAUCUAGUGCUGGUAUUUUAAUAAUAUGCACCCAAUACAUUGUGUAAGUACGGACGAGAUACGGUCGGCCGACCAAUCUAAAGCACCAGUAACUCUGAAAAACUUAGACUGGCGCCCCGUCUAACUCAUGUAAGCACGGAAAGCGGAUGUUCAUAGACUUGUGUAUAACUCGCACUAGUUUAAAAACUGAGGUGCGACUUAUACACGAGGCAAAACUAAAACUAUGAAGGGAAAAAAUUUUGUACCCGGAUUCAACAGCAAUACACAUAAUUAUUCAUACUCAAGUAAAUACGGUACACACACACACAUAUCGAAUUAUAAAAUUAAAACAGUAAGAGAAUUCUCAAAAGUGUUGAAGGAAAAUUAUUGGGGAUGGGUUACAAAGCAAAGCAAAUAAUUUAAGGCUUAGCUGAGUCGGUACGUUUAUAAAAAAUAUUUCUUAAUUGGUUUUAUAUCUUUAGGUUUCGGUUUGACGCAAUACCCUCCAGGUGAGGCAUAAUUUCUUUCCCGACUAUACAAUGUGGGACUCAUCCAUUAACUUUCUAUAAAUUAGUGAAAAAUAUACUCUUUAACACGUUUUACUAGUUUUCUGAGUGGGGUGGGGUGUUUUUUGUUUUAUUAAUGAGCCUUGUCAGGUAAAUGUUUACCUGUUUUCACAUACGGAAGUUAAGUAAAAUAAUUUUCAAAUGACUUUAACAAAAUCCAAUACUCUGUUUUGGUAAUUAGCCCCAGUUCGGCCCGGGUGCUCCAGUUACAAACUAAGCCAACUACAUUAAACAAAGUGAGUUUACUAUUCUUUUUGGUGUGGUACAGUUUGACUUAAGGGAAAUUUAGCUGCUAUUUCUAGCAAGCCGCUUAAAUGAGAUUCGAAGCGAUUACGUGUACAGUGAGUUUAUGUGGAGAAAUAUACGAGCGAAGGGAAGUAACUCAAAUGGCAUGAAUUCUAAAGCGACCUGAAAUUUUCCUUUUUUGUUGGAAUUUGAUGGGAAAUAUAGGAAAGGAAAUUCCACUUAUUUAAGAAUUUACUGUGUAAAAACAUUCGGUAAUCACUCCUUAACUGAUUGGUGGUGACAUGAAUGAGAAAGAUUUUAUUUUCGGUAUUUCGAUUAUAGAAAGUAUGUGAAAAGGUGACUAUUUUAGGUUUUCAUUCGUGUGUGCUCAUAAAUAAUUAUAGAUAGACAAAAUAUAGAUAUAAGGGUACUACUUGACAAGAGUGGUCCCGGUGCGCGCAUCCGCACUUGCUAGUCGUAACUAGUCGAUCCUUAAUAUGUCUUUUUAUUUUAUUUACUUUGUUUAGAAAAAUUAUUUACUUUGUGUUUUGUGUUUUAUUUACUUUGUUUAACAAAAAUGAUUUACUUUGUGUAAAAAAAAAUAUUUAUUUUGUGUUUUAUUUACUUUGCUAGGUAGUCGUUGUAGGAUCGACUAGUCAGCACAAGUAGUACUGACAAAUAUAGAGAUAUAUAUAUCUGAAUAUAUACUACAACAAACAAAAAUUUCGCCUAGCUUUAAAAGAUUCAAUUUACAUAUGUGAACAAAUGUGAUUUCAUCGUAAACUUCUUCCGCUAUAAAACAAAUAAAACAGAAUGUCACAUCUGAUUUUAAUCGAAGAAAAAGAAGAAAUAAUUAUUAACAUUUCAUUUCUUCUCGACCGAACAGCUCUACUUGACAAAAGCAGGUUUCAUUUCUGCACGGAAUGCUAACUUUUUCAUUAUGAGUGUUGAUUUUCUUUCCCUACAGGUGUUAGUCUUUUUUGUAAUUGUUAAUGUAAGAUUUUUUAAAAAAUAAUUAAAUUCUAAGUUUAAUUUUAAAAUAUAUACAUGAUCAUUAAAACAAAACUAUUUAUAAAUUACUUAAUUAAUCUUUCUUUAUAACGGACUUCUUUUUUUACUGUUUUUAGGUCAAAGUUAACUAGGUCAGUGCCCUUGAAACGAA